GGGCCGGUAGCUCAGCUGGGAGAGCAUCAGGCUGGCAGUCUGAGGGUCGAGGGUUCGAUCCCCUUCCGGUCCACCA
rnacentral:tRNA from 1 species